GGCGUAAGGGCUCGCAGGCGGUUUCUUAAGUCUGAUGUGAAAGCCCCCGUGUCAAACAGGGGAGGGUCAUUGGAAACUGGGGAACUUGAGUCUCUUAGAGGAGAGUGGAAUUCCACGUGUAGCGGUGAAAUGCGUAGAGAUGUGGAGGAACACCAGUGGCGAAGGCGACUCUCUGGUCUGUAACUGACGCUGAGGAGCGAAAGCGUGGGGAGCGAACAGGAUUAGAUACCCUGGUAGUCCACGCCGUAAACGAUGAGUGCUAAGUGUUAGGGGGUUUCCGCCCCUUAGUGCUGCAGCUAACGCAUUAAGCACUCCGCCUGGGGAGUACGGUCGCAAGACUGAAACUCAAAGGAAUUGACGGGGGCCCGCACAAGCGGUGGAGCAUGUGGUUUAAUUCGAAGCAACGCGAAGAACCUUACCAGGUCUUGACAUCCUCUGACAAUCCUAGAGAUAGGACGUCCCCUUCGGGGGCAGAGUGACAGGUGGUGCAUGGUUGUCGUCAGCUCGUGUCGUGAGAUGUUGGGUUAAGUCCCGCAACGAGCGCAACCCUUGAUCUUAGUUGCCAGCAUUCAGUUGGGCACUCUAAGGUGACUGCCGGUGACAAACCGGAGGAAGGUGGGGAUGACGUCAAAUCAUCAUGCCCCUUAUGACCUGGGCUACACACGUGCUACAAUGGACAGAACAAAGGGCAGCGAAACCGCGA
rnacentral:rRNA from 1 species